rnacentral:lncRNA from 1 species
CCGCCUCGGGCGCCACGCAGGCAGCGCUCCCGGCGGGGCGCCCCGCUCUGCGCCGUUCCCUCCGCCGUCGCCCAGCCACCGCCUUUCGCACGCGCCGGAACCGCUUUUGUGGUCUCCGAGACACUCAUUUGCUGUCCUGGUUUCCAAAGCUCCACGUGCUCAGCGCCGAAAACUUGCAAAUCAUUUGCUGUACAGAUGUUUAGGGGUCGCCUACUACGUGCGGGGCGCUGUGGACACAUAGGGGGCGGGGGGUGGGUGAGGGGGACACAGCAGCCCCUGAAUCCAUUCGUUUGUUCAGCAGGUCUAUACUGGGCGCCCGCUGCGUGCCAGGUACUGCCACCGGCUCUCUCCUCACGGUGGAAUAACUUAACAGAGAAGACAGACAUCAAUCAAAUACCCUGGAAACGUGGAAGCCCCGCGCCAGCUCCAGGCACAGCCGUUCAGGGUGAUGCCAAAGGGAAAUGAGAACGCCUGGUUUCGAGUGCCAGCCUGAGGCCCCUUAAGCCCUAGCCUGGCUCCAAAAACUGCAGCCUGUUUCCCUCAACAAAAAUGACGUCAAGAAUACCUAGAUGUGACCACACCGAACUUGCUUGCCCGUUUUGGGAAACCCAACUUUCUUCCUGAAUAGUCAGAACCUCUGGCUUUCCUGGUCUCUUAAGAACCGCAAACUAUUGAAAAGCAGAUGCGUCUUUCAGCCUCUUUAAUAAAUGCAGUAAGGAGAGUUGGGACAGAGUUACUUUCAGACUGUGGGGCUCCCCCGUGCCAAAGCAUUCAGACGAAAUGUGGGGGAUAGCGGGGGGAAGGCAGGCAA